UGUCUUUUUGAAAAUAAUAUAAAGUCUAAUCUGCCCACUGAUUUAUAAUUAAAGGGCUGCAGUAUUUUGACUGUACAAAGGUAGCAUAAUCAUUAGUCAUUUAAUUGAUGACUUGUAUGAAAGAUUGGAUGAAAUAUAUACUGUCUCUUAGUUAUUAAAAUAGAAUUUAAUUUUUUAUUUAAAAAGUUAAAAUAUAUUAAAAAGACGAGAAGACCCUAUAGAGUUUUAUAAUUAAAUUUAAUUAAAAUUAUUUAUAAAAUUAAAAUUAAAAUUAAUUUAAUUAUUGUAUUGGGGUGAUAGAAAAAUAUAAAUAACUUUUUAUAUAUUAUAAAACAUUAAUAUGUGAUUAAAUGAUCCAAUAUUAUUGAUUAUAAGAAAAAAUUACCUUAGGGAUAACAGCGUAAUUUUUUUUUUUAGUUCAUAUAAAAAAGAGAGUUUGCGACCUCGAUGUUGGAUUAAGAUAAAGUUUAAAUGUAGAAG
rnacentral:rRNA from 1 species